rnacentral:rRNA from 1 species
UACGUAGGGUGCGAGCGUUAAUCGGAAUUACUGGGCGUAAAGUGUGCGCAGGCGGCAGAGCAAGUCGAGUGUGAAAGCCCCGGGCUUAACUUGGGAAUUGCGCUCGAAACUACUUUGCUGGAGUGUGGCAGAGGAAGGUGGAAUUCCACGUGUAGCGGUGAAAUGCGUAGAUAUCGAGAGGAACACCUGCGGCGAAGGCGGGUUGCUGGGCUGAUACUGACGCUGAGGCGCGAAAGCCAGGGGAGCGAACGGG